rnacentral:lncRNA from 1 species
AAAUAUUCAAUUACAAACAUAAACCUCGAGAGCAUGCAGGCCCAAACAAAUCAAAGUAAAAAAAGGAAUGGAACAAUUCAAAGGGAAACCAUGCUCCCAAAGCAUAGAAGGAGAGAGCCCAUGACCAACAUUAGCCAGGGCAUCAGCUGUGAAGUUGGCCUCACAAAAAACAUGCUUGAAAGAGACCUCCUCCCACAGGGAACAUAGCAUUAAAAUAUCAUGAGUUAGCAACUUGAUACUCCAAGGGAUAGAGGCAGCUAAUCCAUGCAGUCAAUGACAAUCUUAGAAUCACCUUCGACCAACACUUUGCCCCAGCCAUUAUGCACCAUAUAAGCAAGACCAUCCCGCAACGCUAAGCAUUCAGCCACAGUGAUAGUAACCUCGCCAAUUUUCUUUGCCCUAGCAAGUAAAGCAUGACCAUCACUGUUUCCAAUAAUGAACCCAAUUGUAGCACUAUUGUUGUGCACAU